GAUGAAGAACGUAGCGAAAUGCGAUAAGUAAUGUGAAUUGCAGAAUUCAGUGAAUCAUCGAAUCUUUGAACGCACAUUGCGCCCGCCAGUAUUCUGGCGGGCAUGCCUGUUCGAGCGUCAUUUCAACCAUCAAGCCCCCGGCUUGUGUUGGGGACCUGCGGCUGCCGCAGGCCCUGAAAACCAGUGGCGGGCUCGCUAGUCACUCCGAGCGUAGUAAUACAUCUCGCUCAGGGCGUGCUGCGGGUUCCGGCCGUUAAAAAGCCUUAUUUACCCAAGGUUGACCUCGGAUCAGGUAGGAAGACCCGCUGAGCUUAAGCAUAUCAAUAAGCGGAGGA
rnacentral:misc_RNA from 1 species